GUCGGCGAUGGAUCAUUCAAGUUUCUGACCUAUCAGCUUUCGACGGUACUGUAUUGGACUACCGUGGCAGUGACGGGUAACGGGGAAUUAGGGUUCGAUUCCGGAGAGGGAGCCUGAGAAACGGCUACCACAUCUAAGGAAGGCAGCAGGCGCGCAAAUUACCCAAUCCUGACUCAGGGAGGUAGUGACAAGAAAUAACAACACUGGAAAUUCUUUUUCUAGUGAUUGGAAUGAUGGGAAUCCAAACCCCUUUCAGAGUAACAAUUGGAGGGCAAGUCUGGUGCCAGCAGCCGCGGUAAUUCCAGCUCCAAUAGCGUAUAUUAAAGUUGUUGCAGUUAAAAAGCUCGUAGUUGGAUAUCUGCUGGAAGCAGCCAGUCCGCCCUUUGUGGGUGUGCACUUGGUGAAUUCUGGCAUCCUCCUGAUUGGUGUCAUCAUCACUUCAUUGUGUUGGUGGCAGCUGUCAGGACCGUUACUUUGAGAAAAUUAGAGUGUUUCAAGCAGGCUUGUUGCCUUGAAUACUGCAGCAUGGAAUAACAAGAUAGGAUUUCGGUUCUAUUUUGUUGGUUUCUAGAACUGAAGUAAUGAUUAAUAGGGACAGUUGGGGGCAUUCGUAUUUAACUGUCAGAGGUGAAAUUCUUAGAUUUGUUAAAGACGAACUACUGCGAAAGCAUUUGCCAAAGAUGUUUUCAUUAAUCAAGAACGAAAGUUAGGGGCUCGAAGACGAUCAGAUACCGUCGUAGUCUUAACCAUAAACUAUGCCGACUAGAGAUAG
rnacentral:rRNA from 1 species